GUAUCUGUGAUUUAAUUAAAACGUAACUUUUUUCACCUAAUUAGUUAGCAUAAUUUUGAGAUGUUUGUAACGUUUUUCCAAGGGACAUUCUCUAUUAAACUGUUCCAAUAUAGAAUUAUAUAAGGAACAGUAAUACCAUUUUGGUAUAAAGUCCUAAUUGUUUUAGUUUGGUACACAACAUAGAAGCAUAAAAUCCCCACAGUAGUAUCAGAUAAGUCCAUAUUGUGAGUCUUUGGCCAUGGGAAAUUAAUCCCUAACAGUCGCCCAGCAGCAUUCAGAUUCCAGAAGGAAUUGCAUCAAAUAUUAUACUCCUUAACCCAAACAGGAAUUUGAAAUUUCUGCAAAAAA